CCAGCCUUAGAGAUGUUGCAAGUGUGGCUGCUGUGUCACUUGUACAUCAGUAGGUGGCAGAGAGGAGAGAGAGACUCAGUGCUAUGUCUGUACUCAGUGCUAUGACCUCUGGAAAAGGGGAGCCUGAGACAAC